GCUGUGUCAUUUGGGUUGUUAAAGUAACCUGAAAGAAGUUACACCUGCACUGAAAUUUCUGUAUCCAGAAAUUCAAGGCAGGUGAGUGUUAAAGCAAACCAGUCCACGCUGCUUGUGUCUCUUGCUGCCUCCAACAUCAAGGUUAUUGCGAUCUGAUAAUACUGCCCGGGCAUUUGUUUAGCAGACCUGGCAGAAGAGAGCAAGUCAGAAGAUCUACGCGAAGAUAAGUUCUGCAGCUCCUUACAUUCACUGUGUUGUGGAUGUAGAAAAUCACUGAUCUAUCUUUUUUUGCCUUUUACGUUCUUCUUCUGUCAAUUGCACACCUACUGCACCCCUCCUGUUUGCAGCGUGGCAUCUCUAAAAAGAUGUCAUUGGUUAACUUCAGUGAGAGAUGCACACAAAGACUUCUGUUGGAAGCACUUUUUGAUGAGAGGAAGUGGCACCAUAUGUGUUUUUUAGAGUCCUAAUUAGGGUUAGGCUUAGUGUUCCAGUUAGGGUUACAUUUAGGGUUGUUUGGAAAGAGAGAAGGUGCGGAGUCCUCUCACCUGCUGCCUGACUGCAGCCAUCAUCGCAGGGUCUCCAUCCCAUCAGGUACCAGAGCAGCUGUUUGUCCUGCUCCAGAGGUGUUUAACUCCAUCACACAGGUUAAUUCCAGCACCUUAACUCAAUCACCUUCCUAAAUGAUUUCAGUACCUUGACAAACCGUGGCUGCUUCCCCAUCAGCUGUUCCACCUGUGCAUCUCCAGGGCGCAGAAUUGCCCCUAGCAGCAUGUUUCAUGAAGCUGUGUGGCACAGGGAACAAGCUCACAUCCAUGCUGGCACCAGCCUAGAGCCUCCCCCUCCAAGUCCCCUGGGAAACAACGAGUGGAAGAGAUGAUGGGAUUCUCCAGAGUUUAUUAUUUAAAAAAAAGCACAACAUGUGGAUGACUUAAGGGAACAAACAAUCUGUUAAGAUGUUUAGAGCUGCAAACAACUGCUUGGAGAAGGCCCUGAAGGCAGGAGGAGCUCUGCCAGAAGUGCUGCAGUCAGGCAGCUGAGCAGAGCUGAGCUCAGAACAUCUCAGCCCGCACGCAGCAAAGCCCCGGGAGCCUCAAUCCUUCAGGUUUCACCACGGCUGUUCCGCAGCACAACACACCAACAGUGUCCCUGCCCUUACGCUCUGGAAGGAGGCUCGAGGGGCUCAGAGCACAAAGAAACAGGCAGUGGUGUGAAAAUCAAAAGGAACAGUGAGAAAAGAUGGGACAGAGGAACGCAUUCAGGUGGGUGGCUCUGAGGUUGUCCUGCAGCAGGUCCUAACAUCGCCUCCCGACGCUCACAGGAGCCUGGCUGAGUCCUCGGAGCCUCUUCCUCCUCCAGAGGCCACUUGCACCCUGCAGGCAGGGGACACAUGAAGUGAGGAGGGUCACCGAGCUGGGUCAGCAGCCCCUGCACUGAUCCCACGGCAGCUCAGUUCUUUAAAACCCUUUGGUGAGGAAUCUCGCAGAUGCAGGUGAGGACAGGGAUCACAUCACCCCACAGUGACCAGCACACCUCUCCCCAUGGCCAGAAGCGUGCAUCCUGCGCCAGGCAAGGACAGGAACAGGGCCCAGCUUCUGCCUUCCAUCAGAAAAUCACCUUGAGCCUGGGGUUUUAGGAUGCCAUAGCAAGCAGAGCAGCUACACUAACUACUUAGUGCAGCAGACAGGAGGAAAAAAAAAAAA